rnacentral:rRNA from 1 species
AGUGAACGCUGGCGGUAGGCCUAACACAUGCAAGUCGAACGGCAGCACAGUAAGAGCUUGCUCUUACGGGUGGCGAGUGGCGGACGGGUGAGGAAUACAUCGGAAUCUACUUUUUCGUGGGGGAUAACGUAGGGAAACUUACGCUAAUACCGCAUACGACCUACGGGUGAAAGCAGGGGAUCUUCGGACCUUGCGCGAUUGAAUGAGCCGAUGUCGGAUUAGCUAGUUGGCGGGGUAAAGGCCCACCAAGGCGACGAUCCGUAGCUGGUCUGAGAGGAUGAUCAGCCACACCGGAACUGAGAAACGGUCCAGACUCCUACGGGAGGCAGCAGCGGGGAAUAUUGGACAAUGGGCGCAAGCCUGAUCCAGCCAUACCGCGUGGGUGAAGGAGGCCUUCGGGUUGUAAAGCCCUUUUGUUGGGAAAGAAAAGCAGCAGGUUAAUACCCCGCUGUUCUGACGGUACCCAAAGAAUAAGCACCGGCUAACUUCGUG